UACGUAGGGGGCAAGCGUUGUCCGGAUUUAUUGGGCGUAAAGCGCGUGUAGGCGGCCAGAUAGGUCUGCUGUGAAAACUCGAGGCUCAACCUCGAGCUGUCGGCGGAAACCAUCUGGCUAGAGUCCGGAAGAGGAGAGUGGAAUUCCUGGUGUAGCGGUGAAAUGCGCAGAUAUCAGGAAGAACACCUAGUGGCGAAGGCAGGCUCU
rnacentral:rRNA from 1 species